rnacentral:rRNA from 1 species
CGAACUUGUGAACCCUCGUUCUUGGCCGGGAUGCCCAGCACGCGUCGGGCAACAACGAACAAAAUCCCGGCGCAGGACGCGCCAAGCAACUCGGGAAGCUUUGAUUGCGGCGUCCUCUUUCCCUAUCGGGCUUUAGAGGGCACGCGGCGAACACUAAUAAGUCAAAUACGACUCUCGGCAACGGAUAUCUCGGCUCUCGCAUCGAUGAAGAACGUAGCGAAAUGCGAUACUUGGUGUGAAUUGCAGAAUCCCGUGAACCAUCGAGUCUUUGAACGCAAGUUGCGCCCGAGGCCUUCAGGUCGAGGGCACAUCUGCUUGGGCGUUAAACAAGUCGUCUCCCACCGCCUUCUCCCUCCGCACUCCGAGCAAGGAGACUGUCCGGGAUGAGGGUGGGUUGGGCGGAGUCUGGUCGUCCGUGUGCCCGCAGCGCAUGCGGUCGGCUGAAAAGCCUUGGGCCACGGGCUGCGUGCGGCUCAACGGGUGGUGGUUGUGCGCCCCAGGGAAGGCCACGAUUGUCAGCUCGUUGCGCCGUUCGCUUCUCGAUUGCCCGGCAUGUUUUUCUUCACAAUCGAAACAUCCAAUCGACGGAUCGAUCGAAUGCAACCCCUAGCCACGGACUUUACCGACCCC